GCAGAGUGUCCAUGGGAGAUUGUCAGAGCUGGCGUAAGAACUUCUUGCUGUAAAGGAAGGAAAUGCUGGAGACCACAGCAACACCAACCACGACCCCAGAAGCAUCACCCUCCAAAGCGACAGUCCUCAGGCCCAACCUCUCGACCCUCCUGCUCCUCACUGGCUUAGUUCUGCUUUGGCAUGUGUUGACCCUAGCUUGAUCCACACAGAUAAUGUAAGUUACAACAUGGAGUUUGGAAGAACCUGAGUGAUACGGGAUAAAGAUGAAGGCUAACACACGAGCUUCUUCUUGAAAGCCACGUCUGAACAGAUCAUAGAGAUUGUGGUACAGUGCUGAGUCGUCUCCACGCAACCAGACAACACAGCGUGUGCAGGGCUUGGGGUGGUGCAGACUUUCUUUUUUGGCUGGCUUGCUUUCUUUCCCUUUUUUCAUUUUACCUUUCUUUGCAAAUUUAUGUACUUGAAUGUUAGGAAGAGAGAGAGG